rnacentral:rRNA from 1 species
UACGUAGGGUGCAAGCGUUAAUCGGAAUUACUGGGCGUAAAGCGUGCGCAGGCGGUCCGUUAAGACAGAUGUGAAAUCCCCGGGCUUAACCUGGGAACUGCAUUUGUGACUGGCGGACUCGAGUAUGGCAGAGGGGGGUAGAAUUCCACGUGUAGCAGUGAAAUGCGUAGAGAUGUGGAGGAAUACCGAUGGCGAAGGCAGCCCCCUGGGCCCAAUACUGACGC